rnacentral:piRNA from 1 species
UUCUAGAAGGCAGUACUGCUUGACAGAUGA